AUUGAACGCUGGCGGCAGGCCUAACACAUGCAAGUCGAACGGUAACGCGGGGCAACCUGGCGACGAGUGGCGAACGGGUGAGUAAUGUAUCGGAACGUGCCCAGUUGUGGGGGAUAACUGCUCGAAAGAGCAGCUAAUACCGCAUACGACCUGAGGGUGAAAGCGGGGGAUCGCAAGACCUCGCGCAAUUGGAGCGGCCGAUAUCAGAUUAGGUAGUUGGUGGGGUAAAGGCUCACCAAGCCAACGAUCUGUAGCUGGUCUGAGAGGACGACCAGCCACACUGGGACUGAGACAAGGCCCAGACUCCUACGGGAGGCAGCAGUGGGGAAUUUUGGACAAUGGACGCAAGUCUGAUCCAGCCAUGCCGCGUGCGGGAAGAAGGCCUUCGGGUUGUAAACCGCUUUUGUCAGGGAAGAAACGCUCUGGGUUAAUACCUCGGGGUAAUGACGGUACCUGAAGAAUAAGCACCGGCUAACUACGUGCCAGCCGCCGCGGUAACAC
rnacentral:rRNA from 1 species